rnacentral:tmRNA from 1 species
GGGGUAGUUUAUGGAUUCGACAAUCAAAUAAAGCCCUAAUUACGACUUACGGAAGAUAACGCCGAAAUACUUUCAAUCUAAAUAUAAAAGCAAAUAACCAUAGAGUUACAGCUUUAGCUGCCUAGCUUAUAGGCACUUGGUUAAUGUCUUGAUACCAGAUAAGGAUAUUAGCUAUCAUAUUUCACCCCUCUGGUCUUAGUUCAUGAUUUGCUAGUUUGAGUGUGACUAAGUAUUAAAACUAGCUAGACUAGGUAGUUUUUGGAAAAUUACUAUGUAACGUUCCCUAAGUCGAAAAUUUAGAACAUAGUCCUAUUAAGUCUAAAAUGUAUUUGGAAACUAGUUUGGUUGGACACGGGUUCGACUCCCGUCUACUCCAUAU